UGCACCUGGUGGCGAGUGGCGAACGGGUGAGUAAUAUAUCGGAACGUACCUUAUCGUGGGGGAUAACGCAGCGAAAGCUGCGCUAAUACCGCAUACGCCCUGAGGGGGAAAGCGGGGGACCGUAAGGCCUCGCGCGAUUAGAGCGGCCGAUAUCUGAUUAGCUUGUUGGUGGGGUAAAAGCCCACCAAGGCGACGAUCAGUAGCUGGUCUGAGAGGACGAUCAGCCACACUGGGACUGAGACACGGCCCAGACUCCUACGGGAGGCAGCAGUGGGGAAUUUUGGACAAUGGGGGCAACCCUGAUCCAGCAAUGCCGCGUGAGUGAAGAAGGCCUUCGGGUUGUAAAGCUCUUUUGUCAGGGAAGAAACAGCAGCUCUAACACAGUCUGCGAAUGACGGUACCUGAAGAAUAAGCACCGGCUAACUACGUGCCAGCAGCCGCGGUAAUACGUAGGGUGCAAGCGUUAAUCGGAAUUACUGGGCGUAAAGCGUGCGCAGGCGGUUAUACAAGACAGGCGUGAAAUCCCCGGGUUUAACCUGGGAAUGGCGUCUGUGACUGUAUGACUAGAGUGUGUCAGAGGGGGGUAGAAUUCCACGUGUAGCAGUGAAAUGCGUAGAUAUGUGGAGGAAUACCAAUGGCGAAGGCAGCCCCCUGGGAUAACACUGACGCUCAUGCACGAAAGCGUGGGGAGCAAACAGGA
rnacentral:rRNA from 1 species